GUGGGGAAUUUUGGACAAUGGGCGCAAGCCUGAUCCAGCAAUGCCGCGUGCAGGAAGAAGGCCUUCGGGUUGUAAACUGCUUUUGUACGGAACGAAAAGGCUCUGGUUAAUACCUGGGGCUCAUGACGGUACCGUAAGAAUAAGCACCGGCUAACUACGUGCCAGCAGCCGCGGUAAUACGUAGGGUGCAAGCGUUAAUCGGAAUUACUGGGCGUAAAGCGUGCGCAGGCGGUUUUGUAAGACAGACGUGAAAUCCCCGGGCUCAACCUGGGAAUGGCGUUUGUGACUGCAAAGCUGGAGUGCGGCAGAGGGGGAUGGAAUUCCGCGUGUAGCAGUGAAAUGCGUAGAUAUGCGGAGGAACACCGAUGGCGAAGGCAAUCCCCCGGGCCUGCACUGACGCUCAUGCACGAAAGCGUGGGGAGCAAACAGGAUUAGAAACCCGUGUAGUCC
rnacentral:rRNA from 1 species